rnacentral:tRNA from 1 species
GUUUUUGUAGCUUAUAUAUAAAGCAAAGGAUUUUUAAUC